rnacentral:rRNA from 1 species
AUGGGGGAACUGGGGGCGGGGCACCCUGUCAUCAUCAUCUCCAACGAGUGCAGGAGAGGCAUCCCCCCACUCGGUCCAUCUCUUGGGGAACCUCUUUGGGUCGAUGACGGAGCCCUCGUCCAUGGCGAACUCGCACUCGCCGGUGGUGACCACGACGUCUCCACUGUACUCGCACACAAAGGCGCCCGGCUGUAUGAGGUCGAGCGUCCUGGCGCCCCACUCCGUCUCCAUGGACCGGAACACCUCCAGCGUGUGCUUCAUCCCGCGCUGGGUCGCCCUGUUCCCGCAGCUCAUGGGGCAGCCGCAGAGCGCGCCGCACUCGUACACCACCGGCCUGCCCCUGACGAGGGUGCCGUCCUCGUUGUACACCGGGCCGCCGCCGCCGUUCUUGAUCACGCAGCCGCACUCGGGCCCGCACGGCGAGGUCACGCAAUGGCAGCCCCAGUGCUGCUGCUUCACCCGGGAGAGGGGCAAUGGAAAUUCAGGACGGGCAAUGUAGUCGAAGUCGAGGAGAGAGCUCUCGUGGUCCACGCCGUUGAAGACGGGGACGCGGAGCACCUCCCUGCCGUUGGAGAGGUCCGGCGAGAUGUAGCCGGGCGGGAGGGCCUGGUUGGCCAGCAGCUUGUCCUUGAUGUCCUUGGCCAGACACCAGUUGCUGCUGCCGAGCUCCUCCUGGCCAGGGAUGCGCACCAGCGUGUACUUGCAGACAUGGCGGCCGGACUUGCCCGGCUCGUAGGUGGAGCUGACGGCCUUGUAGAGGCCGUCGUAGACAUACACCUUCCGGCUGGGGCUGGAGUCGCAGGCGUGGCAGCGGAUGACGCGCACCUCCACGCCGUAGUGGCAGCUGUAGUGGAGCGCGAGGUUGCCGCGCUCCAGCGUCUGGUCGGCGUGGUGCUCGACGCGGUUGCGCUGGCGGCCGCCGCUGCCGCUGUAGACGAGGACCUGGCCGUUGUCCUCGUCGUCGAGGUAGCCGCCGGAGGAGACGAUGCUGGUGGCGACGGGGUGGCCCUCGCUGACGAGGCUGGCGGGGAUGUAGCCGAUGCCGGCCUGCGGGGUGCAGUGGAGGCCGACGACGCAGAGCUCGGCGCGGUAGUGGAAGGCGUCGCCGACGAGGACGCCGGGGAUGGGGCCGACGAUGCGCACGUCCCGGUACAGCCAGAGGCCCCGGGAGAGCAUCUUGCUGGAGGCGCGCAGGUCGAAGCGGUUGCGGGGGCCGCCGUCGUACGACUCCUCGCGCUGGUAGAUCCCGCGGAGCGCCUCGAAGGUGAGGCGCGCGCGGCGGACCAGGGACCGGAAGUGGAUGUGGUCCUGAGGCGUGACCGUAUUGACGCGCACCAUCUCGCCGCCGCGGGCGCGCUUCUUGGCGGUCGACGAAGAGGAGGAGACGGAUGUGUCAGAGUGCGCGGGGGGAAUGGAACCUUGUGGGUUGGGCUCGGGUUGCGGAUUGGAGACGACGAGGCGGUGGUCGGCGGGGACGGCGUCGAUCUGGUGCUGUGUGAAGUGGAGGUGGCCGGUGAGGUCCGGGUGGCCGUCGGGGGAGGGCUCGAGCUCGGGGGUAAGAGCAAUGGGUUCGAGCUUGGGGAUGAGGGAGGUGGACGGGACGGGGCUGGGGGACUGGGGGGCGUCGGGGUCGGGCUUUGGGGUAAGGGGGAUCUGCGUGGGGAGGGGAUGCGGCGGCGGCGGCGGCGGCGGCGAGGACGCCAUUGCUCUGUCUCUUGUCACUUUACUCUGCAAGUUGCUACGCCGAAUCGCUGA